UGGGGAAUAUCGGACAAUGGGCGAAAGCCUGAUCCAGCCAUGCCGCGUGUGUGAAGAAGGUCUUCGGAUUGUAAAGCACUUUAAGUUGGGAGGAAGGGCAUUAACCUAAUACGUUAGUGUUUUGACGUUACCGACAGAAUAAGCACCGGCUAACUCUGUGCCAGCAGCCGCGGUAAUACAGAGGGUGCAAGCGUUAAUCGGAAUUACUGGGCGUAAAGCGCGCGUAGGUGGUCUGUUAAGUUGGAUGUGAAAUCCCCGGGCUCAACCUGGGAACUGCAUUCAAAACUGACUGACUAGAGUAUGGUAGAGGGUGGUGGAAUUUCCUGUGUAGCGGUGAAAUGCGUAGAUAUAGGAAGGAACACCAGUGGCGAAGGCGACCACCUGGACUAAUACUGACACUGAGGUGCGAAAGCGUGGGGAGCAAACA
rnacentral:rRNA from 1 species